rnacentral:miRNA from 1 species
UGUGUAUGUAUGUCUGUGGAUGUUUGUAGACACACACACACACACACACACACACACACACACACACAC